GCCGAUGUAGCUCAAUCCGGCAGAGCGGCGCUCCCGUAAAGCGACGGUUGCAGGUUCAACUCCUGCCUUCGGCU
rnacentral:tRNA from 1 species